CAGAAACGUACAGAGGGAAGAUCACGUGGAGACGCAGGGAGAAGAUGGUUGUCUACAAGCCAAGGAGAGAGGCUGGGGGCUGUUCCUUUC